rnacentral:lncRNA from 1 species
GAAUCAGGCACCGAGCGCCUUGUAUCCUGAUUAGCUGGCAAGUCUAUUCUUUCUCCCAUGGCACAGAAGACCCCAGAAGGGUUUUAAGUCAGGAGGUGACGUGACUGGAGGUGCAACACCAGCUGGCCACGGGAUGGAGGCAGGGUCCCUGGCCUUACACAGCGCUCACCCCAGGCCCUGCUGGCCCAGCACACAGCAGGUGAGGCUUGGGAAAACUCUUCCAGCCUUCUCUGAUCGGCCCACUUCCGCCCCUCUGGAGCCUGGGAGCCCUGCCCUCUGGAAUAACCCAGCUCCACGUCUCCUAGAGCCGGACCUUGGUAAACAAAAGCCUCGACUGGGGGAAUGUCUUUGGUGCCUGGCAACCUCUGUUUUCGGCCUGGCAACCCCAAAGCCUUUAACAGCCUCAGUCCCCACCCCCAGGCACAAAGGAGGAAACAUACCCACAGCAAGGAGACCAAAAUGCAAAUUACGACCUCAAUAUGUUUCUCUGCAGCCUAGUCAGAGCACUGCGGUGGCAACAACCCACUGAGGCACUGAAUUAAACAAAAAAGGGUUGAGGUUAUGAAAGGAGAGGUUCCAGCUAGAGUUCAAGAAAGUUUUCCAGACCUGCCUGCAGAGAAUUAAACGCAGACACUGUGAAGUGCCCGUCCCAUCCUUCAAGAACCAGCUCAGAUGCCUCCUCUCUGGGAAGCCUUUCCUGCGCCCCCAAGGCUGUUGGUCACUGGAGAGCCCUGAGAGCAGGCAUUAUACUGCAUCCCAUUUGUAUAUUUUGUAUCCCUUUCUAUCUCAUAAAUGGGGCAGGAAUUCAAUCAAGACCUGAGUCAAUUAUUUUAUUUAUACUGAGAACUUCUGUGGCAGUCUCUGUGCUAGGGGAAUACGGAGGACACAGGACACAAUGCACAGUCCAGUUCAGGGAGAACCAAUGAAUGGAGUUGGUACAAUGCUAGCGUUGGGGUUUGAGAGUGAUACUUACACCCCCUCCCCAAGUUCAGGCCAGCUGAGAGGUAUGCACACAGGCCCAUCAGGCAGGAGGAGGGAGAGCCAAGUCAGCUUUAUUGGUAGCUGCUGGUAUUUGGACCUAAGCUCAAAAAAAUUUGCCCUCUCAUGUCUAGAUCUUGAGAAGACCCACCCAAGGGACAGUCUGGAUCUGCAGGACAGACAUACCUACCCAGUCUUUGGGCCAACCCUGAGAAUGGGGUCAGCGAGGUAGUUCUCCAGAUUUGCCUCUAGAAAUCUGAGUGGAGCCCUGGCCAUGUGUUCACCACAUCAAGGACAGGAGCGGGAAGGUGUGAAAAGGGAGUGGAGCCCAGGUCUUAUUUGCCUGUUGAAGCUUCUCUCAAUCUCCUCGAUCCCAUAAAACAUUCCUUCUCCCCAGG